AAAUGCCUGGGAAGUUCGCCUUUUUAAUAUAUGCGAACCGAACAAAGAAGAUAUGGGAAAUUGAGGCAUACCGGGCGUCGAAAGCUUGCUCGAAAGCAAGAAUCCCGAAGGUAUGCAACAAGAGAUUUCCACCGUGUGGGCCUGUGGUUUCACAUAUCUAAUAACGGCUUCCUGGGUAUAAU
rnacentral:other from 1 species